UGGUCAGCUCCACCACGUGUCAAAUGUCGUACUAUUCUCCUUUAUUUAUACUUUUAACCAGCAAAUGCGGAACAAAAAAAGAAAAACCUUUUAACUACCAAAGAUUAUUUCUAUUUUCUGCAGCAAAUGAUCCUUUCUAUCUCUUCCUCUUCUUGAGAAAUUAGAGAGAAGAGACAGUAUUUUGUUUGUAUUUUGAUUUUUCCGAUCUCUAUUUUUUUCUUUUAGACAUAAAUUCUUAUUAAAGGAAAAGGAAAUAUUUGAUUCAUUCUUAUGGAGCUAUUAGACAAGAUGGUGGAUCCUAUGCGCAAAGCUUGGACUAGAGUUUCUACACGUCUUCGUUUUCGUAAAACUGGGCUUGUAGAGCUACACCGUGAUGUGAGGAAAUGCGAAUAUGAAGAUGUCCAUAUUUUGUGGGAGAUGCUGAAAAAGAACGAAACCGUGGAUACUACUAAAUCUGCUGCACGGCCUAAAAAAGUUCGGUUUUGGGAUAUUAUUGAUUGGGCAAAACAUGCUCCCUUCAUUUGCCGUAGCGUGUAACAAAUAUGUUUUAUUGUAUUUUCUAGCUUGCAUAUCUCACAUAUCCGCCUGCGUGUUUUUAGCCAGAUGAAUGAUCGUGGACUAUUUCAGACACAGAUUUGGAACAGGACUAGUGAUAACGUGGAUUACAAGAGUUGGUUUUAGUGGUAGUUUGAAAUGUAGCUUGUAUGAUCUUGGACGAUGUGUAAUCUCUUGGAGAUGGACGUGUUGUUUUACUUGAAUAUUUCUGGUAUGAGGGUUAUCUUCAAGUGAUUAAGAAUGUAACUUUGUGAACC